CCCUCCCUACUUUAAAAUGGCGGCGCUCGCCUAGGUUGGAGUCAGGAGGCGAUGUUAACGCUCGGACGGGACCGUCCCGUGAUGGAGGAGGAGGUGGGGGGGGAGGUGGGAGGCGGUGGCCUCCAGGCGAUGGCCGAUGACGAUGAAGACAUCGACCAGUACAACGACGACACGUUCGGUGCCGGGGCCACUGACGAAGACUGGGGAACC